rnacentral:rRNA from 1 species
AAUAGAUACCCGGGUAGUCCACGCCGUAAACGAUGAGUGCUAAGUGUUAGAGGGUUUCCGCCCUUUAGUGCUGCAGCAAACGCAUUAAGCACUCCGCCUGGGGAGUACGGUCGCAAGACUGAAACUCAAAGGAAUUGACGGGGGCCCGCACAAGCGGUGGAGCAUGUGGUUUAAUUCGAAGCAACGCGAAGAACCUUACCAGGUCUUGACAUCCUUCUGACCGCCCUAGAGAUAGGGUUUUCCCUUCGGGGACAGAAGUGACAGGUGGUGCAUGGUUGUCGUCAGCUCGUGUCGUGAGAUGUUGGGUUAAGUCCCGCAACGAGCGCAACCCUUGAUCUUAGUUGCCAGCAUUUAGUUGGGCACUCUAAGGUGACUGCCGGUGACAAACCGGAGGAAGGUGGGGAUGACGUCAAAGUCAUCAUGCCCCUUAUGACCUGGGCUACACACGUGCUACAAUGGAUGGUACAAAGGGCAGCGAAACCGCGAGGUUAAGCCAAUCCCAUAAAACCAUUCUCAGUUCGGAUUGCAGG